AUUGAACGCUGGCGGCAGGCCUAACACAUGCAAGUCGAGCGGAUGAGUGGAGCUUGCUCCAUGAUUCAGCGGCGGACGGGUGAGUAAUGCCUAGGAAUCUGCCUGGUAGUGGGGGACAACGUUUCGAAAGGAACGCUAAUACCGCAUACGUCCUACGGGAGAAAGCAGGGGACCUUCGGGCCUUGCGCUAUCAGAUGAGCCUAGGUCGGAUUAGCUAGUAGGUGAGGUAAUGGCUCACCUAGGCGACGAUCCGUAACUGGUCUGAGAGGAUGAUCAGUCACACUGGAACUGAGACACGGUCCAGACUCCUACGGGAGGCAGCAGUGGGGAAUAUUGGACAAGGGGCGAAAGCCUGAUCCAGCCAUGCCGCGUGUGUGAAGAAGGUCUUCGGAUUGUAAAGCACUUUAAGUUGGGAGGAAGGGCAGUAAGUUAAUACCUUGCUGUUUUGACGUUACCAACAGAAUAAGCACCGGCUAACUUCGUGCCAGCAGCCGCCGUAACAC
rnacentral:rRNA from 1 species